CUCAUCAUAGCUCAGUUGGUAGAGCGGUUGACUGUAGAUCAAUAGGUCACCUGUUCGAAUCAGGUUGAUGAGA
rnacentral:tRNA from 1 species